UUCAAUGGUGUUGUUUAAAUGUGAAUGGGUUAAUGUGUUCUCAGAAACAGGAAUGAAAAAAGACAAGUACGGUUACACACUUGUCAACUUCUCACAUCUAAUACACAAAGGAGAAAAGAUUGAGCAUGAGCCUUUUAUUUUCCCUAACCAGGCGAAUCAAGUGUUCUAUGUGGAAGAUGAAUUGAAUCCAGGUUGGUCUGUGGUAAUGAAGUUGCCAAAGCCUUGAGAUGUAUAUGACUUCGGCAACUUGGAAUGGGAAGCGCAGACAGAAAAUGAGCCAUUCCAUGUUUCACGCUUGGAGAGAGAGUUUGAAAAGAAAGAACAAUGAACAACAUUGGGUUAGAACAGACGUUGAGGGGACAAUAGUGGAUGCUAAUAAUGCUUCGAGAAAUGAAGAAUAGUUGAGGUUCAGACUACAUGCUACAUGGAGGCAUGGAGGGGGUGGUCGGUUGUGUGCUUUGUGUUGGUACAAAACAGCCUACUCUUUUCUGCUUGCUGGCUUUCUGCUGACUACUUGACCAACUUGCUUGGUGAUAUACUGCUGUGUGAGACCAUGUGUUGGUCAAAACUUAGUAUACUCUUAUAUUUAUGCUUGGUAAUUCGGUCAGCUGCGACACCACGUGCUUGUUUGGAACAUCAUUUUGUACUUUGGUCAACAACAGUUCAGAAUUGAGAUACACGCAGCUUGUUUGGAACUUUAUUUUGUAUACUUUGUUAACAGUUCA